ACACGGUGACGGAGAUCGUCCCGUGCCGUCAGCCCGAGGCGGUGCCGUACUCCUCGUGAGCACAGACCAGCGGCGGUUGGACCGGAGCCAAAAGGUGRCAGYGGAAGGUGAGUUGAUGCUGGCACGUCCYGCAUUGACAGCUUAUAGCCCUGUCAYGUGGAGUCCCGGUCCGACCGAGGAAGCCGGGCAGCCCUUGCCCACCGUGGCACACGCCGAAUGGCGGGGCCUCCCGACACGAGCUAACCAUGCGGGGUGGACUGCACGCAGUGCUCACCGUGGUGGUGAUCCCGUGGCGGUGAGCGCCACUYGUGUGCCAGUGCUGCUGGUAUUCAGAC
rnacentral:misc_RNA from 1 species